AUGGCUCAAAAUGUGCCAUCGAAGGGUGUUAAAAUACCCAUUGAUUCUUCUUAUUGGAAUGACUACAACACUAGAGUUGUGUGUGACAUUUUUGUUGAUCAAGUAGCUACAGAUUUGGGAUUGGAUGAUGCAAGGAAAGCAGUCACAACUAUUUCUGCACGCUGGAAACAACUAAAAUCAGACAUAGCAGGUUGUACCAAAUUUAUGAAGGUCGGCUUGCAAAAUGAGGAGUUACUUGAGAAGAUGUUUGAAGACAUUCACAAUACCGAUGCUAAUCAUUGAUCUUUAGGGC
rnacentral:lncRNA from 1 species